rnacentral:lncRNA from 1 species
GACAGACCUGGUGAACAGGAUUGAGCAUCUGUUUACUGAUAAUAAACAGCAGUGCUACAAUAGUGAGAUGUACAACACAGCGUUGAGACAGAGAGAAGAUGUGCAAAACAGGACAUUUAAAAGUGACCAACCCACAAUUAUUGGAAAGACUAUGGACUGUACCUUGAUGACAGAGACAUGGCAGACACAUAGGAGAAACUUAGAGAAGUGUUCAUUCGAUGGGUCACGAUUAGAUCAUAACAGAAACGGAAGGAGGAAAGAAGUAGAGCAUCUAUUUCACAGACUUCAUCUUGAUAACAUACACCCCUCUAAACUAAGAGCUGCAGAUGUUCUUCAACUAACAAC